AACGAACGCUGGCGGCAUGCCUAACACAUGCAAGUCGAACGAGACCUUCGGGUCUAGUGGCGCACGGGUGCGUAACGCGUGGGAACCUGCCCUUAGGUUCGGAAUAACUCCCCGAAAGGGGUGCUAAUACCGGAUAAUGUCUUCGGACCAAAGAUUUAUCGCCUUUGGAUGGGCCCGCGUUGGAUUAGCUAGUUGGUAGGGUAAAAGCCUACCAAGGCGACGAUCCAUAGCUGGUCUGAGAGGAUGAUCAGCCACACUGGGACUGAGACACGGCCCAGACUCCUACGGGAGGCAGCAGUAGGGAAUAUUGGACCAUGGGCGAAAGCCUGAUCCAGCAAUGCCGCGUGAGUGAUGAAGGCCUUAGGGUUGUAAAGCUCUUUUACCCGGGAUGAUAAUGACAGUACCGGGAGAAUAAGCUCCGGCUAACUCCGUG
rnacentral:rRNA from 1 species